CAACAAUAUAGGAGUUGUGGGGUAUACGUCAAUGAUACAGUUUACACUUCGAAGGGAAUGUGAUGUUUGAUAUACUUCAAUGAGACCGCACCACUGCGAAUAAGAGGAGAUGCGAGAUAUACGUCAAUGUGACAGUAACACUGCUAAUAAAAAAAAGUUGGGGACGGGGGUAAUACGUCAAUGAGACAGCAACACUGCAAAUAAAAGAAGUUUUGGGACGGGGAUAAUACGUCAAUGAGACAGCAACACUGCGAAUAACAGAAGUUUGGGGACGGGGGUAAUACGUCAAUGUGACAGUAACACUGGAAAUAAAAGAAGUUGGGGACGGGGGUAAUACGUCAAUGAGACAGUAACACUGCAAAUAAAAGAAGUUUGGGACGGGGUAAUACUAGUACGUGAAUGAAACAGCAACACUGCAAAUAAAAAAAGUUUGGUGACUGGGGUAAUACGUCAAUGUGACGGUAACACUGCAAAUAAAAUAAGUUGGGGACGGUGGUAAUACGUCAAUGAGACAGUAACACUGCGAAUGAAAGAAGUUGGGGACGGGGGUAAUACGUCAAUGAGACAGUAACACUGCGAAUAAAAGAAGUUUGGGACGAGGGUAAUACUAGUACGUGAAUGAGACCGC
rnacentral:lncRNA from 1 species